CCACUCACCAGCUCCAGUGAGAAGACCAGUUUGUCGCGCACUUUAGUGCUUAUGUAAGCGGCAGAUCGACAUCAAGCCGGAUGUUCCACAUUUUAGCCCAGUGUCCAGAGCUAGAAAAUUGGGCGUGAUUUUGACGGAAUUGACUACAGAGGAGCCAGCGCCAACAGCAGGAUAGAUGUCCGGAGUUAUGCUGUGUUAAUUUGCACAUUUCCUGGGACUAAGUUCAAUAUGCC
rnacentral:lncRNA from 1 species